rnacentral:rRNA from 1 species
CUGGGCUUGACAUCCGCUGACCGUCCUGGAAACAGGAUCUUCCCCGCAAGGGGACGUCGAGACAGGUGCUGCAUGGCUGUCGUCAGCUCGUGUCGUGAGAUGUUGGGUUAAGUCCCGCAACGAGCGCAACCCUCAUCCUUAGUUGCCAUCAUUGAGUUGGGCACUCUAAGGAAACUGCCCCGGUUAACGGGGAGGAAGGUGGGGAUGACGUCAAGUCCUCAUGGCCUUUAUGUCCAGGGCUACACACGUGCUACAAUGGGCGGUACAAAGGGUUGCAAUACCGUAAGGUGGAGCUAAUCCCAAAAAGCCGCUCUCAGUUCAGAUUAGAGUCUGCAACUCGACUUUAUGAAGGCGGAAUCGCUAGUAAUCGCGGAUCAGCAUGCCGCGGUGAAUACGUUCC